rfam:Ictidomys tridecemlineatus contig057975, whole genome shotgun sequence.
GGGGCCAUAGCUCAGUUGGUAGAGUGCUUGCCUUGUAAGCACAAGGCCCUGGAUUCAACCCCCAGCAGCACCC